rnacentral:lncRNA from 13 species
CCACUACUCAUAUAUCCCACAGACACAGAUGGGCCUAAACCAUAGGCAUUGAGGGCUUUCUUAUGACAAAGGCCAAAACAUUCUGUAUGCCUUCUCAUACUGUAUAUCAGCGCUGACAUGCUUGAAUAUAGGCUAUUCACAUAUGUUGGUAUUGAAACUGCUCAUAUGUGUUGGCAUUGCUACUACUCAUACGUUUGUCAUUGAUACUACUCAUACGUUGGUAUUGAUACUACUCAUAUGUAAGUAUUGAUACUACUCAUGUGUUGGCAUUGAUACUACUCAUAUGUUGGCAUUGAUACUACUCAUAUGUUGGCAUUGAUACUACUCAUAUGAUGGCAUUGAUACUACUCAUGUAUUGGUAUUGAUACUACUCAUGUAUUGGUAUUGAUACUACUCAUGUGUUAGUAUUGAUACUACUCAUAUGAUGGCAUUGAUACUACUCAUAUGUUGGCAUUGAUACUACUCAUAUGAUGGCAUUGAUACUACUCAUGUAUUGGUAUUGAUACUACUCAUGUGUUGGUAUUGAUACUACUCAUGUGUUGGCAUUGAUACUACUCAUAUGUUGGCAUUGAUACUACUCAUUUGUUGGCAUUGAUACUACUCAUAUGUUGGCAUUGAUACUACUCAUAUGAUGGCAUUGAUACUACUCAUAUAUGUUGGCAUUGCUACUACUCCCAUAUGCUGUUAUUGAUACUACUCAUAUGAUGGCAUUGAUACUACUCAUAUAUGUUGGCAUUGCUACUACUCCCAUGUGUUAGCAUUGAUACUACUCAUAUGUGUUGGUAUUGAUACUACUCAUGUGUUGGUAUUGAUACUACUCAUGUAUUGGCAUUGAUACUACUCAUAUGUGUUGGUAUUGAUACUACUCAUGUGUUGGUAUUGAUACUACUCAUGUAUUGGUAUUGAUACUACUCAUGUAUUGGUAUUGAUACUACUCAUAUGUUGGCAUUGAUACUACUCAUAUGUGUUGGUAUUGGUACUACUCAUAUGUUGGCAUUGAUACUACUCAUGUAUUGGUAUUGAUACUACUCAUAUGUGUUGGUAUUGGUACUACUCAUAUGUUGGUAUUGAUACUACUCAUGUGUUGGUAUUGAUACUACUCAUGUAUUGGUAUUGAUACUACUCAUAUGUGUUGGUAUUGGUACUACUCAUAUGUUGGUAUUGAUACUACUCAUGUGUUGGUAUUGGUACUACUCAUGUAUUGGUAUUGAUACUACUCAUGUAUUGGUAUUGAUACUACUCAUGUAUUGGUAUUGAUACUACUCAUAU